GCUGGGUGUCAUUAACAAUGAAUUUCCCACU
rnacentral:piRNA from 1 species